AUUGAACGCUGGCGGCAGGCCUAACACAUGCAAGUCGAGCGAGUGGCGGACGGGUGAGUAAUGUCUGGGAAACUGCCCGCUGGAGGGGGAUAACUACUGGAAACGGUGGCUAAUACCGCAUACUAUCGGAUGAACCCAUAUGGGAUUAGCUAGUAGGUGGGGUAACGGCUCACCUAGGCGACGAUCUCUAGCUGGUCUGAGAGGAUGAUCAGCAACACUGGGACUGAGACACGGCCCAGACUCCUACGGGAGGCAGCAGUGGGGAAUAUUGCACAAUGGGCGCAAGCCUGAUGCAGCCAUGACGCGUGUAUGAAGAAGGCCUUCGGGUUGUAAAGUACUUUCAGCGGGGAGGCGUUACCCGCAGAAGAAGCACCGGCUAACUCCGUGCCAGCAGCCGCGGUAAUAC
rnacentral:rRNA from 1 species